rnacentral:lncRNA from 1 species
AUGUGAUGAUCUGCGUAUGAUGAUGAAUAAACUGGCAAGACCAUCGAUCAAAGGGAAAAACGAAUUAAUUCAUACUAGCGAGUAGCGCAACACUUCGAAGUUUUUCUUUCUUUUGCGCAGCACACAGAUUAGGAAUAAAUUACUUGAUCGAGCAUGAAACAUAUCACAUUUCGGCACGAAAUCUUAACACCAUCGUGACCGUCGCAGGAGGAGCCGAGGCCCUCGAUCAACACGCCGUCGUCGUGCCAGACAGCUCGGCCGUCGAUCGAUCCGCAUGCAGACAAGCACGUGCGCGCCCGUCGUCGUACCACGCGCAGCGUCGUCACAUCUUGGGUAUGGUGGCGGCGACGGCGGGGCCGCUGUUGUAGGCGUCGCAGCGCCGCCUGACCUCGCCGUCGGCGCCGGUCUUGACGCCGAACAAGCUGAGCUUCUCCAUGGCGCGGCCGAAGUCGUCGAAGAAGGCUGUGGCGUUGGAUGCAUAGAGCUGCACCAGGGGCUUGGUGCGUGGGUCCGUCCACAGCUCCUCGUCGGUGCUGAGCAGGCCGAGGCCGCGCUCGAGGUUGACGAAGUACAUGUUGUCGAACUUGCCGGGCG